rnacentral:rRNA from 1 species
UACGUGAGCAGCGAGCGUUUGUUCGGAAUUACUGGGCGUAAAGAGUGUGUAGGCGGUGCUCUAAGUUCGGUGUGAAAUCUCCCGGCUUAACUGGGAGGUGCGCCGGAAACUGGAGUGCUCGAGCGUGGGAGAGGAAAGCGGAAUUCCUGGUGUAGCGGUGAAAUGCGUAGAUAUCAGGAGGAACACCUGCGGUGUAGACGGCUUUCUGGACCAUUGCUGACGCUGGAGACACGAAAGCGUGGGUAGCAAACAGG